rnacentral:rRNA from 1 species
CGGAGGAUCCAAGCGUUAUCCGGAUUUAUUGGGUUUAAAGGGUGCGUAGGCGGCCUGUUAAGUCAGGGGUGAAAGACGGUAGCUCAGCUAUCGCAGUGCCCUUGAUACUGAUGGGCUUGAAUGGACUAGAGGUAGGCGGAAUGAGACAAGUAGCGGUGAAAUGCAUAGAUAUGUCUCAGAACACCGAUUGCGAAGGCAGCUUACUAUGGUCUUAUUGACGCUGAGGCACGAAAGCGUGGGGAUCAAACAGGAUUAGAUACCCUGGUAGUCCACGCCCUAAACGAUGAACACUCGCUGUUGGCGAUACACAGUCAGCGGCUAAGCGAAAGCGUUAAGUGUUCCACCUGGGGAGUACGCUCGCAAGAGUG